rnacentral:rRNA from 1 species
GACGAACGCUGGCGGCGUGCCUAAUACAUGCAAGUCGAACGCAUUUUCUUUCACCGUAGCUUGCUACACCGAGAGAAAAUGAGUGGCGAACGGGUGAGUAACACGUGGGUAACCUGCCCAACAGCGGGGGAUAACACUCGGAAACAGGUGCUAAUACCGCAUAAUUCCAAUUACCGCAGGGAAGUUGGAUGAAAGGCGCUUUUGCGGCACUGUUGGAUGGACCUGCGGUGCUUUGGCUAGUCGGUGGGGUAACGGCCUACCAAGGCUGCGAUGCAUAGCCGACAUGGGUGGGUGGUGCGCCACACUGGGACUGGUGACCGGCCCCAACUGCUCCGGGAGGCAGCAGUGAGGCAUCUUCGGCGAAGGAGGGAAGUCUGACCGAGCAACGCCGCAUGAGUGAAGAAGGGUCUCGGAUCGGAAAACUCCGUUGUUAGGGAAGAACAAGGAUGAGAGUGGAAACUUCAUCUCUUGACGGUAACUAAGCAGAAAGCCACGGCUAACUACGUG